GCCUACGCUACCGCGCUGUUGGGCGGUGGGUGUGGGCGGAGGUGAGAGGGCGGGACGUAUCUUCCGCCCUCUCUCUCUGUCCCGCCCACUGCAUACCACACAUAGUUUUUUCUCCCUGCACGUCACUAGUGCGGGCUCCCACAUGAUGAGAGCAGGGCUUACCUGUCCCUCCCCUCUCCCCACUUGGAGGCAACGCCCCCUUUUCCACACUGACCCAUAGCAACGCAGGCUCCUUUACAGACCCCUCCCACCUUACUCCUCCCCCUCUCCUAUUUAAAAAGCCAAGCAGCCCCACAAUGUCAGACAUUGCUGGAUGGCUGCAGCAGCUGUACACACUCUACACUGCUUGUGUUUUCUUCCCAUCUUCCGAUCCCUCUACUGACCUCUCUGGCCACUUUUUGUCAUUACAGGUAAAAAUAUAUAUACAAUCAAUAAACUUUUACGCUGUGACACUUUGGGCCAAAGGUCUUGCUACGCUGUGAUUGAUAUUAGAUGCCAGUCCUCACUCCUCUCUUUACCAUCUGAGGCUUGCCAUGCGUCCCGAUUGCGAUGUCCUUUUAAGGGGUGUGCUGAGCCGUUGAAACUUCUCGGGUGAAAAGUUGUUUGUUACACUUUCUGACUCCACACAUACUUCGGUCCCUGAAGAAGGAAACCCGAAACGCGUUGGGCCCAGUAUUCAUAUUGUGGACUCUUCACCCUUUUUCCAAUACACCCCAUUAAUGUGUUGUUUUUAAACCUUUGUACUAUAUACGUUUACUGAACGUUGUUUGAUACCGUCCUGUUAUUAUUAAACUAUUAUAUAUUUUGUAUCUA